rnacentral:rRNA from 1 species
GUUAAGCGACUAAGCGUACACGGUGGAUGCCCUGGCAGUCAGAGGCGAUGAAGGGCGUGCUAAUCUGCGAUAAGCGCCGGUAAGGUGAUAUGAACCGUUAUAACCGGCGAUACCCGAAUGGGGAAACCCAGUGUGAUUCGUCACACUAUCAUUAACUGAAUCCAUAGGUUAAUGAGGCGAACCGGGGGAACUGAAACAUCUAAGUACCCCGAGGAAAAGAAAUCAACCGAGAUUCCCCCAGUAGCGGCGAGCGAACGGGGAGGAGCCCAGAGCCUGAAUCAGCAUGUGUGUUAGUGGAAGCGUCUGGAAAGGCGCGCGAUACAGGGUGACAGCCCCGUACACAAAAGCGCAUGUGCUGUGAGCUCGAUGAGUAGGGCGGGACACGUGGUAUCCUGUCUGAAUAUGGGGGGACCAUCCUCCAAGGCUAAAUACUCCUGACUGACCGAUAGUGAACCAGUACCGUGAGGGAAAGGCGAAAAGAACCCCGGCGAGGGGAGUGAAAAAGAACCUGAAACCGUGUACGUACAAGCAGUGGGAGCACAGGUUUACCUGUGUGACUGCGUACCUUUUGUAUAAUGGGUCAGCGACUUAUAUUCUGUAGCAAGGUUAACCGUAUAGGGGAGCCGGAGGGAAACCGAGUCUUAACCGGGCGUUAAGUUGCAGGGUAUAGACCCGAAACCCGGUGAUCUAGCCAUGGGCAGGUUGAAGGUUGGGUAACACUAACUGGAGGACCGAACCGACUAAUGUUGAAAAAUUAGCGGAUGACCUGUGGCUGGGGGUGAAAGGCCAAUCAAACCGGGAGAUAGCUGGUUCUCCCCGAAAGCUAUUUAGGUAGCGCCUCGUGAAUUCAUCUCCGGGGGUAGAGCACUGUUUCGGCUAGGGGGCCAUCCCGGCUUACCAACCCGAUGCAAACUGCGAAUACCGGAGAAUGUUAUCACGGGAGACACACGGCGGGUGCUAACGUCCGUCGUGAAGAGGGAAACAACCCAGACCGCCAGCUAAGGUCCCAAAGUCAUGGUUAAGUGGGAAACGAUGUGGGAAGGCCCAGACAGCCAGGAUGUUGGCUUAGAAGCAGCCAUCAUUUAAAGAAAGCGUAAUAGCUCACUGGUCGAGUCGGCCUGCGCGGAAGAUGUAACGGGGCUAAACCAUGCACCGAAGCUGCGGCAGCGAACGUAUCACUUAAAGCGAUUCAGCGGGUUACGAUUGACGGAGCGAAGCGACGUCAAAGCGUAUACAAAGUCGAGUCGGUUUAAGGAUACGUUCGUUGGGUAGGGGAGCGUUC